GGGGGUGUAGCUCAGUUGGGAGAGCGUUCGGUUCGCAUCCGAGAGGUCAGGGGUUCGAAUCCCCUCAUCUCCACCA
rnacentral:tRNA from 1 species